rnacentral:rRNA from 1 species
AUCUUCGGCAAUGGACGAAAGUCUGACCGAGCAACUCCGCCAGAGUGAAGAAGGUUUUCGGAUCGUAAAACUCUGUUGCUAGAGAAGAACGUUGGGUAGAGUGGAAAAUUACACAAGUGACGGUAUCUAACCAGAAAGGGACGGCUAACUACGUGCCAGCAGCCGCGGUAAUACGUAGGUCCCGAGCGUUGUCCGGAUUUAUUGGGCGUAAAGCGAGCGCAGGUGGUUUAAUAAGUCUGAUGUAAAAGGCAGUGGCUCAACCAUUGUGUGCAUUGGAAACUGUUAGACUUGAGUGCAGUAGAGGAGAGUGGAAUUCCAUGUGUAGCGGUGAAAUGCGUAGAUAUAUGGAGGAACACCGGUGGCGAAAGCGGCUCUCUGGAUUGUAACUGACACUGAGGCUCGAAAGCGUGGGUAGCAAACAG